rnacentral:rRNA from 1 species
AACGAACGCUGGCGGCAGGCUUAACACAUGCAAGUCGAACGCCCCGCAAGGGGAGUGGCAGACGGGUGAGUAACGCGUGGGAACGUACCUUUCGCUUCGGAAUAGUCCCGGGGAACUGGGUUUAAGACCGGAUACGCCGUAUUGGGAAAGAUUUAUCGGCGAAAGAUCGGCCCGCGUUGGAUUAGCUAGUUGGUGGUGUAAUGGACCACCAAGGCGACGAUCCAUAGCUGGUCUGAGAGGAUGAUCAGCCACACUGGGACUGAGACACGGCCCAGACUCCUACGGGAGGCAGCAGUGGGGAAUCUUGGACAAUGGGCGCAAGCCUGAUCCAGCCAUGCCGCGUGAGUGAAGAAGGCCUUAGGGUUGUAAAACUCUUUCGCCGGAGAAGAUAAUGACGGUAUCCGGAGAAGAAGCCCCGGCUAACUUCGUGCCAGCCGCCGCCGUAAUAC